CUCAAAACGUGUAUAUUUUGUAAUGCAUUUUAAAUUUCUCUUUUGUGAAGAGCACUGAUUUUUCAAAUUUUGGGGCUGCUGCUCCUGCCAGGCAUCUGUGUGUUCUGUGCAGCAGAGAUCGAAGACAUUGAUCAUCUUUUUUUCAAAUGUCCUUUCUCCAAACAAGUGUGGUCGAAUAUCGCUUUAUGGCUGGAUGUUAAUUUGGUGGGUGAGCAGGGUGGAUACAUGCAUCUGGAGCAGUUCAUUUUAAGCUUGAUUGGUAAGAUGCCAAAGCAGAAAGUGUGUUUGGUUUGGUUAACAACAGUUUGGUCUAUUUGGAAUGCAAGAAACAACUUCAUGUUCAACAAUGAGGAUGUUGUUCUAGAUGAAGUUAUAGUUAAUAUUAAAGUGGUUUCUUGGAUUUGGUUAGUGAUAGGUUCUAAGACAGGAAAUUGUAAUCCAUUAUUUUUCUGGUUUCAAGCACCUUUAGAUAUACUAAAAGGUGCCUAAUUUUUCUGCUUAACUCUGUAAUGGCUUUUGGGUUGUUGGUACUGCUAGUACCUCUCCCAGCUUAUUAAUUAAUUUGGCUUAUCAAAAAAAAAUAUUUUAAAAUUAAAAAUAUAUUUUAAUUGCAUAUUUUUUAUUA